GUUGUAUGGUUAAGUGACUAAGCGUACACGGUGGAUGCCUUGGCAGUCAGAGGCGAUGAAAGACGUAGUAACUUGCGAUAAGCCCAGAUUAGGUAGUAACAACCAUUUGAGUCUGGGAUUUCUGAAUGGGGAAACCCACGUGCAUAAGCACGUAUCCUUACCUGAAUACAUAGGGUAAGGAGGCGAACCGGGGGAACUGAAACAUCUAAGUACCCCGAGGAAAAGAAAUCAACCGAGAUUCCGAAAGUAGCGGCGAGCGAAAUUGGACUAGCCCUUAAGCUUUACACGCGUUAGACGAACGGUCUGGAAAGUCCGACGAUACAGGGUGAUAGUCCCGUAGUUGACGACGUGUGUUCAGUGAAAUCGAGUAGGGCGGGACACGUGAUAUCCUGUCUGAAUAUGGGGGGACCAUCCUCCAAGGCUAAAUACUACUGACUGACCGAUAGUGAACCAGUACCGUGAGGGAAAGGCGAAAAGAACCCCUGUGAGGGGAGUGAAAUAGAACCUGAAACCGUGUACGUACAAGCAGUAGGAGCAGGCUUUGUCCUGUGACUGCGUACCUUUUGUAUAAUGGGUCAGCGACUUAUAUUCAGUGGCAAGGUUAACCAUCUAGGGGAGCCGUAGGGAAACCGAGUCUUAACUGGGCGUUCAGUCUCUGGAUAUAGACCCGAAACCAGGUGAUCUAGCCAUGGGCAGGUUGAAGGUUGAGUAACAUCAACUGGAGGACCGAACCGACUAAUGUUGAAAAAUUAGCGGAUGACUUGUGGCUAGGGGUGAAAGGCCAAUCAAACCUGGAGAUAGCUGGUUCUCCCCGAAAGCUAUUUAGGUAGCGCCUCGGACGAAUACUACUGGGGGUAGAGCACUGUUAAGGCUAGGGGGUCAUCCCGACUUACCAACCCUUUGCAAACUCCGAAUACCAGUAAGUACUAUCCGGGAGACACACGGCGGGUGCUAACGUCCGUCGUGGAGAGGGAAACAACCCAGACCGCCAGCUAAGGUCCCAAAUUACUACUAAGUGGGAAACGAUGUGGGAAGGCUCAGACAGCCAGGAUGUUGGCUUAGAAGCAGCCAUCAUUUAAAGAAAGCGUAAUAGCUCACUGGUCGAGUCGGCCUGCGCGGAAGAUGUAACGGGGCUAAGUAGUAAACCGAAGCUGCGGCAAUGUGCUUUUGCACAUUGGGUAGGGGAGCGUUCUGUAAGCGGUUGAAGGUGUGUGGUAACGCAUGCUGGACGUAUCAGAAGUGCGAAUGCUGACAUGAGUAACGAUAAAGGGGGUGAAAAACCUCCUCGCCGGAAGACCAAGGGUUCCUGUCCAACGUUAAUCGGGGCAGGGUAAGUCGACCCCUAAGGCGAGGCCGAAAGGCGUAGUCGAUGGGAAACGGGUUAAUAUUCCCGUACUUCUUACAAUUGCGAUGGGGGGACGGAGAAGGCUAGGUGGGCCUGGCGACGGUUGUCCAGGUUCAAGUGCGUAGGCUUAAGAGUUAGGUAAAUCCGGCUCUUUCUAAGGCUGAGACACGACGUCGAGCACCUACGGGUGUGAAGUCAUUGAUGCCAUGCUUCCAGGAAAAGCCUCUAAGCUUCAGAUUGUAAGGAAUCGUACCCCAAACCGACACAGGUGGUCGGGUAGAGAAUACCAAGGCGCUUGAGAGAACUCGGGUGAAGGAACUAGGCAAAAUGGUACCGUAACUUCGGGAGAAGGUACGCUCUUGAUGGUGAAGUCCCUCGCGGAUGGAGCUGACGAGAGUCGCAGAUACCAGGUGGCUGCAACUGUUUAUUAAAAACACAGCACUGUGCAAAAUCGUAAGAUGACGUAUACGGUGUGACGCCUGCCCGGUGCCGGAAGGUUAAUUGAUGGGGUUAGACUUCGGUCGAAGCUCUUGAUCGAAGCCCCGGUAAACGGCGGCCGUAACUAUAACGGUCCUAAGGUAGCGAAAUUCCUUGUCGGGUAAGUUCCGACCUGCACGAAUGGCGUAAUGAUGGCCACGCUGUCUCCACCCGAGACUCAGUGAAAUUGAAAUCGCUGUGAAGAUGCAGUGUACCCGCGGCUAGACGGAAAGACCCCGUGAACCUUUACUACAGCUUGGCACUGAACAUUGACCCUACAUGUGUAGGAUAGGUGGGAGGCUUUGAAGCACGUACGCCAGUAUGUGUGGAGCCGUCCUUGAAAUACCACCCUUGUAGUGUUGAUGUUCUAACGUCGACCCCUAAUCGGGGUUGCGGACAGUGCCUGGUGGGUAGUUUGACUGGGGCGGUCUCCUCCCAAAGAGUAACGGAGGAGCACGAAGGUGGGCUAAUCACGGUUGGACAUCGUGAGGUUAGUGCAAUGGCAUAAGCCCGCUUGACUGCGAGAAUGACAAUUCGAGCAGGUGCGAAAGCAGGUCAUAGUGAUCCGGUGGUUCUGAAUGGAAGGGCCAUCGCUCAACGGAUAAAAGGUACUCCGGGGAUAACAGGCUGAUACCGCCCAAGAGUUCAUAUCGACGGCGGUGUUUGGCACCUCGAUGUCGGCUCAUCACAUCCUGGGGCUGAAGUCGGUCCCAAGGGUAUGGCUGUUCGCCAUUUAAAGUGGUACGCGAGCUGGGUUUAGAACGUCGUGAGACAGUUCGGUCCCUAUCUGCCGUGGGCGUUGGAAGAUUGAAGGGGGCUGCUCCUAGUACGAGAGGACCGGAGUGGACGAACCUCUGGUGUUCGGGUUGUGUCGCCAGACGCAUUGCCCGGUAGCUAAGUUCGGAAUCGAUAACCGCUGAAAGCAUCUAAGCGGGAAGCGAGCCCUGAGAUGAGUCUUCCCUGAUACUUUAAGUAUCCUAAAGGGUUGUCGGAGACUACGACGUUGAUAGGUCAGGUGUGUAAGUGCUGUGAGGCAUUGAGCUAACUGAUACUAAUUGCCCGUGAGGCUUAACCAUACAACACCCA
rnacentral:rRNA from 1 species